rnacentral:sRNA from 1 species
CAGCUACUCCCUUUGUAUUUUCACUUUCAAGUAUUUGAUAUUCAGUUUUCGUUUAAGUCUUUCAUCAUUUUUGUUAUCAUGUUUUCAAUCGUUGUUUUGCUAUUGUCUUUGAUUAUGUUUGAGUAGUGAACUGUAUUUCUGAGGAUGGGAUAGAAUAGUUCUGGUUUACUUGGUCGUUUUAGGUGGUUGAGUUUAGAAUUCUAGAAUCCCUUCUGGAUUAGUUGCGCUUAUUGCUUGUUUUACUGGCUAAUGUGGAGUAUGAGUCCAGACGUCCAGCGCUCAGAAGGCGUUUAAUGGGCGUUGGAUCCUAUUAAUUCCAGAGAUAUCUGACUCUACCCCAAGGGAUUGGCUGUAGAGAGGGUAUUGACUUUAACAUGUUGAUUCGAUAAUGCGUGCUUAGUUAGAGAUCGCUAAAGGGAUUUAGGUCAGUGUCUAGCUUUGCUUGAGGAUUUCUAUCACUGGAGUGAAUUAAUCUGUUGUUGAACUUGUUGUCUAGGGAUAGCUUCUGUGAAGUUUUGUCAACCGCCUGAAUAGAUUAAGGAGACCACACUAUUCGAUUACCCCAUCCUUAGGAAUCGUUUAUCCAUUUGAUUGCCUGUUAUCAUUUCUGCUUUGUCAUUCACUUGCCUGCUAUUGCCAUUUCUUCUUUUAGUUUCAUUUCAUUUCUGUUAUUGCAUACUAGGACUGUUAGAACCAACCAACUUUCUGCUUGGCUUGACUUAGAGCUUUCUGAUCAUAUCUCAUCUGUUUGCAUCACACCGGAUUGGAUUGACAUCCUAAAAUACUACAACGACAAGAUAGUGUUUUAGGGAUUAAUUCAGUAAAAUCCUACUAUCAUAUCUCCAAGCGAAAAUGGAAACAAGUGAAGCUUGAAACCAUCUUCACUAACUCCAUUGAUUCUUGUUAGGCUACAGAGCCUUUCAAACUCGUCUAGGUGAUCGAGUGGAUCUUCAAUUGGAAGGCCGUGAGAUUUGUUGCCCUGAACCAUAGCAAUGAGACCACUCUUGAU